UCCGGAGGGGGAGAGGCAGGAAGAGGCUUCUCUGCCCUCCCACAGCCCGAAGCCAGCCCGACCGCCCCGUGACAAAGGCUGAGCUGAGCUGGAGUCAAUGUUGGCUGCUUCCACUACUCUUUGCUGGGCCCAAAACCUGUUGCCCAUCGUCACAGCUUGAAGAGUCCUGAAGUCCAAGAGCACGCCACUGAACACUCUCCUUGGAGCCCCAACCUCCAUUUCCCUUUUCCCCCAGCCUUGCCUAACUCCCUACUACCUUGCCCUUGCCCCAUGAUUUUACAGCUUCUGGAUUUCACUUACUAAGAGCUUGUCUCUUUGAGACUCAGACAGACCGCCCUGGACUGGGCUGCCUUCCAAGGUACAUGGGGACUGAGAACUGCUGACAGUCCAGGAGAAAGGCAAGCUCAGCUCCACUUCUGGUAAAGAGUUUGCUUUGAUGUGGCUGCUCCAAGUUGAGUUGAUCUUCCAGACUCCAAAGUGGGAGAGAGAUGUUGAACCUACUCUCAGCGUUCCUUCAAAAUCCACCUGUAAUACCCACCACUCCCAUCCCCCAUAACCAUGCCACUACACAAUAAACACCAUUCUAAGCACUUUAGUACAACUCACUUACUUAGUUCUCAUAACAGUUCUGAA